UAAGUAAUGAUGUCUAUGUAAGCAGCUCACUAGACUUUGAGCAAAAAAAUCUUAUCUUUUUUUUUUUUUAAAUAAAGAACAUUUUGUUU